rnacentral:lncRNA from 1 species
UCUGUCUUAGUCAGUCUGAGCUGCUACAACAGGACAUCCACAGACUGGGUGGCUUAUAAUCAACAGAAAUGUAUUUCUUGCCGUUCUGAAGGUUGGAAAGUCCAAAAUUAAGGCACUAACAGAUCUGGUGUCUGGUGAGGGUCUGCUUCCUGGCUCACAGAGAACUAGCUAUCAACAAUCCAUGUUCACAUUCUGUCCAGCCACCUGUGCCUAUCUAUCUAAUCUGAUGUAGUCUAGUCUAUCAUCAGCCUAAAUAGUCAUCAUCCUAAACAUUCCUUUAUUUAUGUUACAUACAUCUACUCACUAUCCUCACAACUCAUUUAUAAUACAAAGGAAUGUCUAAGUUCUGGUACCCACCAUACCCACCUCCCCUUUCUAAGGAAAAUGGACACAAACAUUUCUUUCUGCUUAAAGUUUCAGGAUCAUAUCAUGUGUAUUAAGUGAAAUCAGUUCUAUUUCUCUGGGCAGCAACCCUGACUGGACAAGGGGCAGGUUCUUGGGGUUCCUCAACUAAAGGCAACUGUGUUUGUAUGUGUAUAAUCUUAACAUAUAUACACACACAUAUAUAUAUAGUAGCUUAUGUAUUACACACAUAUAUGAUAUAUUCUAUAGAUAUAGAUCUGUCAGACAUAUGCGUACAUAUAUAACUUCAAUAGCUUGCCAUAAAACUCUGCCCAAAUGAGGUUCUCCAACGUGCCUGACUGAUCAUUUAUACUUCUAAUCAUCUGUCUACAGAUCAGUCCACUAGUCCAUUCAUCCCUAUAAGCAUCCAUUAUCCUAGAGUCCACCCAUCACCCAUCGAUCCAUAUAACCAACAACUAUCCAUCCACAUGUUACCCUUUCAUAACCUCCAGGUA